GAUGAACGCUGGCGGCGUGCUUAACACAUGCAAGUCGAACGGGAAACCUUUUAUUGAAGCUUCGGCAGAUUUAGAUUGUUUCUAGUGGCGGACGGGUGAGUAACGCGUGGGUAACCUGCCUUAUACAGGGGGAUAACAGUCAGAAAUGAUUGCUAAUACCGCAUAAGCGCACAGAGCUGCAUGGCUCGGUGUGAAAAACUCCGGUGGUAUACGAUGGACCCGCGUUGGAUUAGCUAGUUGGUGAGGUAACGGCCCACCAAGGCGACGAUCCAUAGCCGGCCUGAGAGGGUGAACGGCCACAUUGGGACUGAGACACGGCCCAGACUCCUACGGGAGGCAGCAGUGGGGAAUAUUGCACAAUGGGGGAAACCCUGAUGCAGCGACGCCGCGUGAAGGAAGAAGUAUCUCGGUAUGUAAACUUCUAUCAGCAGGGAAGAAAAUGACGGUAC
rnacentral:rRNA from 1 species